GAUAGAUACCCGUCUAUUCAUGCCCUAAAGAAGAGAUUGAAGAAUACGAGUGCAUCUUAAAACUUAAAGAAUUUGGCGGUGUCUUAUCAAAUUAGGGGAACCUGCCUCAUAACUCGACAGUCCACGGUCAAAUCACCUUUAUUUGAACCUCAGCCUGUAUACUGCCGUCGUAAGUAAACCUCUUAAAGUAAGUAAGUUUACAAAAAACUUUAUUCUGUUUUACGUCAGGUCCUAGUGCAGCUUAUAUAAAGGAGACGGUGGGUUACAACCUAUAUAAUGAAACAAAUCCAUAUCUUAAAAUUAUGGUGAAGGUGGACUUAUUUGUAACUCUGUAACAAAAUCAAAGUGACAGUUGAAUCUAAGACAUGCACACAUCGCCCUUCAUUCCCCUUACGGU
rnacentral:rRNA from 1 species